UAGAGUGAUCUGUCAUAACGUCGGAACAUUCCGGAUACUCCAGGUCAUCGUCUGAAAACUCCUCGGUGUAGGUUAGGGUUAUCUCUGAGCAAAGUUCAUAAUCGCUGUCAAAGUCUAUGCUGGAAGCCGGGCGGCUGACUGGCUUGUUGCUCGUGGCCCUGUCACCUGGGGAAGAGGCUGCCUCCAUCAGAGGUAGGCUAAAGCUGAUGUAUUUCUGUACUUUGGGAUUUUGAUGACUAGAGUUUAAGACUUCUUCAUUAGGGCCAUUAGUGUCUAAGGCACCAUCCAUUAACCUCGAUAGUUUGGAAUGCACUGUCCUGUGGCCACAGACAUCUUGUUUAUCGGGAAUAUUACUUGAAUUAGAACAAAGCAACCCCUCUGCAAUGUCCUCUGUGUUAUCGGGAUCACAAGCCUCUUCAGUUUGCCUCAUGUCUUUAACAUCCAAGGGAUUUUCAGAACUGGAUGUACCAAGGUCAUUAUCAGCCAAUAGCUGGAGUGAGCAGGUACCAUUGAAUUGGGAGAAGGGGGAGUCAGCUGAUGCGGGAGGACCCGAGGCAAUACUUUCUUCUCCCUUAUAGGAUGCUCUUUCUCAUCAAUUCGAUGUGUGCUUUCCUGCUCAUAUGUCUCAUGUUUGCAAACUGUGUUCCUGUCGUCUUUCGGGUUAAGAGAGAGCUGUUGAUUCUCUGACGGACACUCCACUUCCGUGGAUUGAAGAUCCACUUCAGUGGAUCUUCACUGCAGAGCAGAUCAUCCCAAAACAGUUUUUAGCAGAGAUUUGAUAAAUAGCAGCGUCAUUUUGGGUACCACUAGGAUGAAGAGAAGAUACAGGCCAUGAUCCCUCUGCUGGACAAACCAGUUAUCCUGAAGGUACUAUAACUUGCGUGGGAAGAAGGAAAAGGAAGCGAGGAAAAUAAGACCAAGAGGCACAAAGGACCAGAUAUUAUUCUAUUUUAUUACGUGUUCCACAUUCCAGUGGGAGAAAACAAGAUCUGGGAACAAGCAGUCUGCAGUGUCUCCCCGCCCCCUCCCUGAGCCAUGCCUGGCCGUGCAGCAUGAAGGGGAGAGGCUGGGCUCAAUAAAUACUUACAUGAUGACAUCCUCAUCCCCUCCGCAGUCACAGCACCAGAUUUUGGAACUGAGGUCCAAAGAAGACGUGACUCUCUUAAGUUACACAACUGAAAAAAGGAAGAAAUAUUUCCCACGUGUAAGGCACUGAGUUAGCCGCUGUAUGGAAGAUAAAGUUGUUAAAUUCCUAGGCCCCACCUCAGGAGCUCCCCAUCCAGUAAGGGAAACGAGGUGUUUAUAUAAGCAGCUCCAGUACAGGACAGUACAUGCUAACCAUUAAAAAUCAGACCAAUUAUAGAAAUUUGGGGGUAGGGGGGUGGCACAUGAUAAUGGUGUCCUGGGAACUUGAAAGCUAAAGCAGGUCUAGGAAAUACAUAGUAGGAUUCUGGCAGGAAAGAUGGUACAUGCCUGAGGUUGGGAAGGGGGCUGAUCACUCCGGGCAAAAGGAAUGGCCAAAGGUGAGAGGAGGUGGGAAAGCUCUGGGCCCUCACGGAAAUCAACAAACCAUGCUUCCCGGCGGAGUGCUAAGCUGAAAGUUAGGGCAACUGCAUGAUUUACUGUUGAAGCAGGACUCUUUAGAGAGUGAGGAGGGAUGUAAUUAAUGUUUACACCAAACCACAGGCAGAAAGUGGGGUGGACCCAGGCCAGUGAGGAGGAAGAGUCGCCCACCAGGAGGUGGGCAGGGCCCAGAGGGUGAACGAUUUUCCAUCCCAGACAAGGGUUUGGACCUCAGGCUCCAAUUCACUGGGAAGCAGAUCAGAGCAGUCAUUUAGGGAAGAGCGGAAAUCAUUCUGUGAGAUGCCCACCACAUUGCACAGGGUACCAGGGGGAGGAAGGAGGGUUCCCGCUCUCCUGAGGCCUCUGGCUAAGCAGGGACACCCCCGCCUCCCACAUGUCCUGUUGGACCUACGACCACAUAUGCCCGGCACACUGCGUGGCACUUGAAAAGGGAGAGAAAAAAUGGGUGGAAUAAGACUUGUUGGGCUUCCCUGGUGGCGCAGUGGUUAAGAAUCCGCCUGCCAGUGCAGGGGACACGGGUUCGAGCCCUGGUCCGGGAAGAUCCCACAUGCCGCAGAGCAACUAAGCCCGUGCACCACAACUACUGAAGCCCACAUGCCUAGAGCCUGUGCUCCGCAACAAGAGAAGCCACCGCAAUGAGAAGCCCGCACACCACAACGAAGAGUAGCCCCCGCUCACUGCAACUAGAGAAAGCCCGCAAGCAGCAACAAAGACCCAACACAGCCAAAAAUAAAUAAAUAAAUUUAUAAAAAA